rnacentral:rRNA from 1 species
CCUACGGGCGGCAGCAGUGGGGAAUAUUGCACAAUGGGCGAAAGCCUGAUGCAGCAACGCCGCGUGAGCGAUGACUGCCUUCGGGUCGUAAAGCUCUUUCCUCAAGGAAGAUAAUGACGGUACUUGAGGCGUUAGCCCCGGCUAACUACGUGCCAGCAGCCGCUGUAAUACGUAGGGGGCUAGCGGUAUCCGGAAUGACUGGGCGAAAAGGGUGCGUAGGUGGUUUCUUAAGUCAGAGGUGAAAGGCUACGGCUCAACCGUAGUAAGCCUUUGAAACUGGGGAACUUGAGUGCAGGAGAGGAGAGUGGAAUUCCUAGUGUAGCGGUGAAAUGCGUAGAUAUUAGGAGGAACACCAGUUGCGAAGGCGGCUCUCUGGACUGUAACUGACACUGAGGCACGAAAGCGUGGGGAGCAAACAGGAUUAGAUACCCUGGUAGUC